AGGGUUCGAUUCUGGCUCAGGAUUAACGCUGGCGGCGUGCCUAAUACAUGCAAGUCGAAUGGUAGCAAUACCAUGGCGAACGGGUGAGUAACACGUAGGUAACCUGUCUUUAAGCCGAGGAUAACCAUUGGAAACGAUGGAUAAUACUGGAUAGGACAUUUGAAGGCAUCUUUAAAUGUUUAAAGAUUUAUCACUUAGAGAGGGGCCUGCGGCGCAUUAGCUAGUUGGUGAGGUGAAGGCUUACCAAGGCGAUGAUGCGUAGCCGGACUGAGAGGUUGAACGGCCACAAUGGAACUGAGAACGGUCCAUACUCCUACGGGAGGCAGCAGUAGGGAAUUUUCGGCAAUGGGCGGAAGCCUGACCGAGCAACGCCGCGUGAACGAAGAAGUAUUUCGGUAUGUAAAGUUCUUUUAUUAGGGACGAAAAGACAGAUUGACGGUACCUAAUGAAUAAGCUCCGGCUAACUACGUGCCAGCAGCCGC
rnacentral:rRNA from 1 species